rnacentral:rRNA from 1 species
UACGUAGGGUGCGAGCGUUGUCCGGAUUCAUUGGGCGUAAAGAGCUCGUAGGCGGCUUGAUAAGUCGGAUGUGAAACCUCCAGGCUCAACCUGGAGUCGCCAUCCGAUACUGUCAUGGCUAGAGUCCGGUAGGGGCCCACGGAAUUCCUGGUGUAGCGGUGAAAUGCGCAGAUAUCAGGAGGAACACCGGUGGCGAAGGCGGUGGGCUGGGCCGGCACUGACGCUGGAGGAGCGAAAGCGUGGGGAGCGAACAGG